CCUACGGGAGGCAGCAGUAGGGAAUCUUCCGCAAUGGACGAAAGUCUGACGGAGCAACGCCGCGUGAGUGAAGAAGGUUUUCGGAUCGUAAAACUCUGUUGUCAGGGAAGAACAAGUACGGGAGUAACUGCCCGUACCUUGACGGUACCUGGCCAGAAAGCCACGGCUAACUACGUGCCAGCAGCCGCGGUAAUACGUAGGUGGCAAGCGUUGUCCGGAAUUAUUGGGCGUAAAGCGCGCGCAGGCGGCCUUUUAAGUCUGAUGUGAAAGCCCCCGGCUCAACCGGGGAGGGUCAUUGGAAACUGGAAGGCUUGAGUGCAGAAGAGAAGAGCGGAAUUCCACGUGUAGCGGUGAAAUGCGUAGAGAUGUGGAGGAACACCAGUGGCGAAGGCGGCUCUUUGGUCUGUAAACUGACGCUGAGGCGCGAAAAGCGUGGGGAGCAAACAGGAUUAGAUACCCUGGUAGUCCACGCCGUAAACGAUGAGUGCUAAAGUGUUGGGGGGUUUCCGCCCCUCAGUGNNNNACACACAUAAUANACNCCNCCUCGGAGGUACGGCCGGCCGACGACGNGAACGUAAAAGUAAAAGUAAGUAGACGNGAGAGAGCGACGACGACGACGAGGAGGAGGAG
rnacentral:rRNA from 1 species